rnacentral:lncRNA from 1 species
UGAUCGGAGAAGAACUUCUAAUGUGUGUAAUCUUAUAUGUUCGAACCUAAGCCGGUAGCAUAGGAAUAAAUUUCUGCACCAAUAAGAGUAACUAUCUAACAAUGGUACUUGACGUCUGGAUGCAAAGCAACACUCAAGAACUUACUUGGAUACAGCUACCAUAUAAUUCAUUCCUUUGACCCUUGAUGCUAGGAUGACUUAGAGUUUAAACU